ACUGCGGUGCCUUCGAGUACAAACCGGAAGUAGAAGACAGACACACGCAGCUUCUGUUUUGUUCAGAGUUUGACUAAAAUCCUUGAUUUUCGGCUUAAAAUGCGGACGUUUUGUUGGAUUGCACUGAGUUGUCGCGUCGUUUCAACGAUAAAUGAAACGUAAGUGAACAGUUAGUCGACGUCUUUGAGCUUGAACUCGGGAUUGUUUGUGUCAUUAGCUGCUAUCGCUGCUCAGUCGGUUAGCUCUCGGGCGCUGGACCGUCCCUCCCCGUGUCUCUGCAGCUUAAUUCCGGGGAGGAAAUGGGACGAGGGAAGGGUCGAGAGCAGCGACGCGGUCCCCCGAUGGGACCGCCGGGAGAAGACGCGCCUCCGUUCGACAUGGGUCGACCCAGGUGGGGCCCGGUGCCGCCUGGAGGCUGGGGUCCGAUGCCGCCUGACGGUUGGCCGCCACAUGAGUGGGGUCCUCCGCCACCGGGAGGAUGGGGACCACUGCCGCCUGGUGGAUGGGGACCACCGCACGGAGACUGGGGUCCGAGAGGGCUUCCGCAUCCUGACUGGGACCCAAGAGGACCUCCACCGCCGGGCUGGGGGGGGCCCCCCGACGACUGGCUUCCUCCUCUAGAUGACUGGCGUCGAUUUCGUGAGGACUGGAGACUUCUUCACCCUGACGACCUGAGACUGCCGCACCCGGAUGACUGGAGACCCCCGCAUCCAGAUGACUGGCGACCUCCACACCCCGACGGCUGGGGACCCGACAGGCCUCUCCCUCCACCCGGUUGGGGACAUGCGGGCUGGGGUCCAGAGCCUGCUCCACCUGUACCCCCUCCCGUCAUCCCCCCGCCCCCUGUAGCGAUUCCUCCUCCGGACCCUGCAGCUUUUGCCCCGGUGGCCCCGGUGGCCCCGAUGCCCCCUGUCCCUGCGUUCGGUUUCCCGGCCUUCCCUCCUCCAGGCUGGACAGGAGAGCCUGUCCCUGAGGAACCGCUGGUGAAUCCACCCCCGGACCAGCCUGAGUGGAUCAAAGCCUUGAUCUCAGCUCCGCCCACUGAGUCCAAUCAAGCUGAAGCUAAGAAAGAAGAUCCAACUGUCCCCAAGACACCUGCUGCUGAUGGCGUCGCUCCCGGACCCAGCCCUGUCUCAAAACCUAAACCUGAACCCAGCAAGACCAGCAAAGCCAUCGGCCUUCUGGGAAAACGCAAGUUUGACAAGCCUCCUCCUGGCAGGUCCACAGGAAUCAUCUCCUUCAUCGGGCCGACCUUUGGCUACAUCGAGAGAGAAGAUCUGGAGAAAUUCACCUUCAGCUUCAGCGCUUUCUUUGGUAACCCCAAAGCCAUGACACCCGGGGUCAGAGUUCACUUCACCGGCUGUAAGAACAAGCACAAGAGUCAGAUAGCGACGGACGUCAAAGUGGCUCCAGGUGGGACGGAGAACGUUGACGUGGACAUCUACGAGGCCGUGGUCAGUAAACCAAUCGUGGAGCCUCAGCCUGGCGAGCGCCAGUACCCGGGUCAGGUCUACGUGAACAUCGGUCCACUGAGGACCAACCUGACGUUUGAGAGGAAGGACAGCACGGUGACGCUGCUGAAGGACGACCAGGUCCUCAUCAACCUGCUGACCGAUAUCGUGACGGAGAAGAGGAGGGCCACCAACAUCAAACCCCAGAUCCCUGCCACCUUCAGCCACACGGGGGAGACACGCGAGGAGGGCAUCAUCAUCAGCCUGAAAGACGACAAAGGCGUCAUCAAGUCAGAAAAACAUGGUGAACUUCCCUUUGACAUUGGAGAAAACCUGAGUGACGUGGAGUUCACGGCCGAGGACGUCAGCGAGGAGGUGGAGUUCACCGUCCUCAUGUUGUUGUCUGGGAAACAAGCCGUCAGGAUCCGUCGCGUGAAGGAGCCGCUUCUCCUCACGCUGUUGUCCGCAACAGAGGAGGCAGCGCUGGCGGCAGCGAAACAAAACCACGACGGAGACUCGGAGACUCCUGAAGGAAAGACGAGGGUCCAAGCGGAGCUGCCGCCCGGUAUGAUGCUGGACUCUGAACUGUACGAGGGGAUUGUCAGUCAGCCGAUCAUAGAGCCUACGCCCACCUUGCAGGGUUACCCGGGUCAGAUCAGCGCCAACAUCGGCCCGAUCAAGACAAACGUGACCUUCAACCACCAGGACUGCGGCGUGACGCUGCUGAGGAACGACCACGUGCUCAUUAACCUGCUCGUCGAUGCCUCCACCAAGAAGAGGAGAGCGGCAAACAUCAAACCCAAGAUCCCAUUCACAUUCUGUUACACCAAGGAGAAGAGAGAGCUGGGCAUCAUCACCGUCCUUGGGCCUGAAGAGGGCAUCAUAAACUCUGACGACCACGGUGAACUUCCCUUCGACGUCUGCGAGAACUUCAGUGACACAGAGUUCAACAGCAGUGACAUCCACCAGGAAGUGGAGUUCACUACGACCAUAGUGAAGUCAAAGAAGCGAGCAAUCAGACUGAGGAGGAUGAAAAGGUUUGAGGACCAAAUCCUGGCAGAGCAGAAGAGACGUGGGGAGGAGGAGAAGAGGAGGAAGAAGCUCGAGGAGGAGGAGAAGAAGAGGAAACAAGAGGAGGAGGAGAAGAGGGGGGAGAAGGAGGAGGAGGAGCAAGAGAGGAGGAGGAAGGAGGAGGCUGCAGCGGCGCUUGCCGCAGCUAAAGACAAGUUAAACGGAACUUGUCUCUCACAGUGGACGCCGCUCGGCUUCUCGGUGAGAGAUCCCUGCACGCGAGACGACAUCAGCAAGGAGAGGUUUGAAGGAACUGUCCUCAGGGCCAUCUCCCAAUUCCCUCGCAGGGAGAUCAAGAAGGAGCCGGAGGAGGAGCACACAGGAGGGGGACAGGUGAAAAUAAAAGUGGAGACAAAAGAUGAAGUAGAGGAGGAAGGAAAACCUGUCACAGAGGAGGAAAAGAUGGAGGUGAAGAAGGAGGAUCAUGUGUUGCAGGCUGGAGGCGGAGCAAAAACAGGCCACGAAUUGGGACGACUGGUGAUGACCAUCGACGGUCAACAGAAGCAGCUUAGCUUCGGUCCCAGAGACCUGCUGACCACGGCCACCAUGCUGGACGGAGACAAGGUACGUUUCAACAUUGCCACCAAUUCAGAGACCAAAGAGGAGCGAGCGACCUAUGUGGAAAUCCUGCCCGACUCCUUCGAAGAGUCCACCGAACAACGUCGAAACGGCAUCGUGAUCGAGUUCUCAGGGCCCUCAGGCCUCAUCAAGUGCAGUCAGAACCCACAGCUCUUCUUCUUCAUGUCAGAGGUGAUUGAGAAGAAGAGGCUGGAGUUAAACGAGAAGGUUGAGUUCAGCGUCAUCCCGCAUGAGACGGCAGAGGGCGGGACCCAGGCCAUCAGGAUCAAACGUUUCACAGAGAACGUUUUCCUUCCGGCUCGCAAACUCGUUGCGGUCGGAGCAAACAAAGGGAAGAUGACCAUAAAACUGAGCAAAGCUGCAGAGGAGGCAGAGAAAGAAAAACCAGAGAAGGAAAAACUAAAGGCAGUAGUGAAAAGUCUUAGAGCGCAGGACAACAAGUCCAGCAUCAGCAGGCGGGAUCACAGCGCCCCCCGGCACAAAUAUGGCCACAGCAGAAGUAGGAGCAGGAGUCGAAGUAGGAGCAGGAGUCGAAGUAGGAGCAGGAUUCCAAUCACAGACGAGUUUGGCCGUGUCAAAAGAAAACAUAGUCCCAGUGCCGAACGAGAUCGUAAAAGCAGGUACAGAAACAGCAGAGAGAGUGAGAAGUCACACCGGCGCAGCAGGAGUCGCAGCAGGAGUCGCAGCAGGAGUCGCAGUAGGAGUCGCAGUCGGAGCAAGGAAAGGUCCAGAAAGGCCCCAGAAAGGAGCUGCAGAGAACGCGAGGAGCCUCCGAAGAGGAGGAGAGAGCUGAGUCCUCCUCAAAGACGUGGAGGCUUUGAUGAUGAGCUAGCUAGGAAGAAGCGUGAGCUAGAAGAGCUUAAUGAGAUGAUAGCCUACAAAAAGGCUCUGGUGGACAUAGAUCCCAGGGGUCUGGAACCUGGACACAGGACUUGCAUCGACUAUGAUCACGGCAGGAUCACUAUGCCACUCCCCGAGUUCAAACCAGUCCGUUCCAUCCUGAAGAAACGACCCGAAGGACCGGAGUACGACCAUCGCCCUCCUCAACAUUACGAUGAUCCAUAUUAUGAUCGACCGUUUAGUCCUUACCAAGAUCGGCGAUAUGGUGACCGCUAUAGUGACCCAUAUGCAGCUCGCCCCUACCCCAACCCUCCUUAUACUGACCGACCUUACAGUGAGCUUCCUUAUGAAAGUCGGGUGUACAGUGAACCGCCCUACAGUGGUGUCCCUUCGUCUGCCAGUAAUCGCUACACUGAUCGCUACGAUGUUUAUGAUGAACCUUAUGAAGAACGCUACUAUGAACCAGCAUAUUCAGACCGACCUAACGAUGAUCCACAUCGCCCUGCAAAAGUGACCCAGUCUCUGGAGCCCCACAAUCCAUCCCCUUCUUUACAGCAGGCAGCCUCCUCACAACCUGCUUCAACUGCCUCAUUUUCCCAAACUCCCUUCAGACCUCCUUCUCCCGCUGAACCGCCUCCUCGAAGUCCAUCCCCCAAGCUGAAGAAUGUAACCCAGCGUCCAUCGCCUCCAGUUGAGAAACCACCACUGGACCGUUUCCUUGACAUGCUGAACAAAAAAGUUGUGGCUGAAAAGAAAUCUGAACUGAUUCAGGUCAGAGAUGACCUUCUGCCUCAUGAGCGGGCUCUUCAAGAUGGUGCAGGAUUCUCUCGUUUUGUUGGACUUGUCCAAGAGCAACCAAGCAGCAGUCAAGCUCUAGAAGGGGAAAAGAAACAACAAAGCCCUAAACAGUCCUCGGAGGAGAGAAUCAAUGAAGAAUCAAAGAUCAAGGCAGAACCCUAUGACAAGAUCCAGAGUCUACUCCGUUCGAUUGGCCUGAAGCUGAGUUCGGGGGAUGUGUCUAAACUGGCGAGCCGGGCUCAGGAGAAAAUCUACAGUCCAAAGUCCUCCUCCACAGAAAGAGAGACAUUGUCCUCCACAAAAGAAGAACUGCAAACAUGUAGAACGGGAUCAGUUGAACCCGAUCGCAACCAUACUCCCUCUCCCAUUAGAUCCUCCAGUGUGGAGUCACUCAGCAGACAUAGAACAGUGUCAGAGUACGAAGAAUUCCUAGACCAGCAAGAGCUGGAGACACUAAAGAAGGCACAGCAGUUACAGAAUCUCACCAAGACGAUGGGGAGUACUCUCCCCUCCACCAUGCCUCCAAAACCACCUCCUGGGCCUCCGCCGACUCAAUACAUACACCCACCCCCACCUGUUAACUGGCCACUGGGAGGCACCAUUUAUCAAGAACAGACCUUGACAGCUACAAGCAUAGGAACUCAACCAGCCUGUCAACUACCACAGAGAUUUGGCUUUCCUCCUGGACCUCCUGCUGGACCACCUCCACGGCAUCCUGGCCAGCCUCCUCCAGGGCCCCCUCCUGGACCUCCACCACGGCGCCCCACUGUACCACCUCCUUUUGCUCCGACGCCCAAUAAUACAACCUUACCUUUCAUUGGCCAGCCCCCUGCAGCACAAUUAUCUGAUACCAGUCCUCCACAGCCCAUAACCACUGCCACGGCAACACAGUUACCAGUCACAUCAAGUCCUCCGAGCAAUGACCAGUCAGCCAUUUCUACGACUAUGGCCAGAUGUUUGAAGGUCAUAGAGACUGUCAAGUCUCUGGCAUCACAACCCACAGCCAAACCAGUGAAGUCAGUCCAGUUCAGUUUACCCACUGAGUCUCCAUCAGUGUCCAGUUUUCAGGUUUCUACAGAGACGGAUGAAGACGUGAAGGCAAAGCAGAAGGAGAAGCUGGAUUUAUAUGACCAGAGGAUCUUGGAGAAAAGGGAACAGCAGUUCCAGGAGAAGAUGGCCCGCAAGAAACAAGGGGACAAGGAUGGUGCGGCAGUCGCCCCAGUACAUGGAACAUUAAGAACAUUUCCUUUGGCAAGUCUUUGAAGGGUGUUCUUGUAAAGCUGUUGAGGGUAAGUCAAGUUCUUAUUCUGUUUGUGUCAAACUGAGAUGAGGCUACAUGUUUGCCGAUGACACUUUAAAUAUUGUUAUUGUUAAUGUUAAAAACGUUCUGAUUACUUAGUCACAUGUUUAAAUGUUUGCUUUAGUCUGAACUUACAGCAGAUCAAGAUUUAUACUGACUUUAAUAUCUUUAAGUCAUAUUGGCAAUUCAACAAAACCUCAGAGGCCGAGCCAAGUUUCAGUUCUUCACAAGAUCGUGUUAGUCAUGUCUCAGUCACAGAGGUAUUAGAUAAUAAGCAGGUGGACAUUUGUGCCAACAUAUUUUGUAAUGAACCGUGUUCUGCAGGUGUAUGCUUAAGAAAGAUGGUUGAACUAGCUUCUCUAUUGCUUUUAUAGAUCUAGCUUCUAUAAUCUGUGAACCUGAAGUUAGCUCAGGAAGCUAACCAAAGAGUUUUCAUUGUAGGCACUUAAAGUCAGCUAUCAUUAUGCUUUACAGUGGGAGUCUGAAGGCUGUGCUGAUUGUUCUCAAUAACACAGGUUUCAGUAACUUGAUCAUCGUCAUAUCUAAGCUAAGCUGUUUACUUUAAUUGUUGUUGCCUCAUGAUUAAGAAUGUAAGAAAUGUUGGGUUGUUGGCUGCCUAAUGUCUAAAUCAAUCCAUGUUAGCUCAAGAAGCUAAUGUAGCGACAUCAUUAGCUUUAGCAUUUUUCAGAUGAGACUUACUGCUAGUCAGUCGUCAAUACGGUAAGUGGUCAACUCUAUACCUUCCCUCAAUGACUUGCACAAGCUAAUUGCUAAAGCUAAAUUCUUGAAAUACGUCCUCAUUAGGAGUCAGUUGUGUGAAUUAGCCCGUCGGUUGUCCAAAGGCCCAUUUAUACUCCAUUGUCCUCUGCUUUACAUCCGCCCAUCCUAAAUGUUAUCUCUGUCACUACCGUACCUCUUUACAUCUUUUGCGUAGGUGUGGUUGCUUUGCAAUACUUCCUCUAGAGUGCAGUUCAAGCAUCAGCAAAUAUGGCGACUGUUGAAGAGGUCAUUUUAUUGUGCUUGAUCCGAAAUAGACAGAGAGACGUUUCGCGGAAUGUAAGUCAUCCCAUUAACAUCAAAUACAUGAAUUCUCACCGAGAUGCUCUAAGAAACAUAACAAACACCUGGAAAGACUUGUCGUCGUUUAGACCCUUGACUCUAUACUGACCCCAUUAUCUCUGGUGGUAUUGUUCUGUUUUAUCCGUCACUGUCUCUCCUGGGACGUAUUGACGAAGGGUUCCGUUAAUCUUUUGUAUCGAGUAUAAAUGGGUCUUAAGGGUGUUUUCACACAGUCCUUAUUAAGUGAACUCAAGUUGAUCCACUUGGACGUAGCUCUCUUUAUUCACAUUGUAUGCAAAUUGCCAUUUUGAACUAUUCACACCACAGAUCUUUACCCUUGAUACCCUUGAACUAGAUAAUUAGUGGCAGAAGCAGGCUUCUAAUGUGUUUUACGUAAAACAGUCGUGGUUCUGUCGGUGGAUUAGCAUCUGUCCUGUCAAGCUAGGCACUGGAACCUGGUUCCAAUGUGGCACCAGUAUAGAACUUUUUCUUUUUUUCUUUUUUUCUUCUUUUAAACGACAUCAAAGCUGAAGCACUGAGCGCCACCUGCUGUCACGUGUCAUCUGUCACUGGCGUGUGGUGAUGGAGGUGAGCUGCGCAAGGAAGUUAGCGGAUGGAUGCGCGUUUCAGUCCGCCGUGUAUUUUUUUGUUUGAUCAGAGUCCAGAUCACUCUUCCGUGGCAGGUAAAGACAAAAGACACCACAUGCCCCCAACCAGGUGACUCCUCCCACCUGGUGAAAACCGGUUCAACAUAAACCAGGACCUGAUGCAGAUAUCCUCCAAAAAAAAGUUUUAGGUUUGUUUUAACUCAAGAUUUAUUAUAAACUUUUACUCAGUUAGUCUGUAACUGGUUUAGUUUUGCUUAAUUAUGGCUUCAUUUUCUUUCCCAUUUAUUUAAAGUUUUUCAUGGCUUUUGAAAAAAAAAGCACAGAUCUUUAAAGUUCAGCUUUAUCACCAAUAUUGUCUUAUUGAGACAUUGAAACAACACUAGCGAUACGCAGCGCUAGUCUUUGGUCUUGUUGGUGUGUUUAAAUCUACCGUGAUGUCACAGCGAGCCUCGAUGAACUUUAAGUCACUGUUAAACUCAAGGGGGCGGAGUUCAGAUAAGUGAAGGUUCAGUGUGGAGUCAGGAACUGAAAUGGAUUACAUUUUAUGCUGCUGCUAACGUAAUUGCAGCAACCUUUGCUGAAGCCAACGCGUUUCAUGGUGACAUGUCGCAAAUGAUAUCAUUAUUUUGUAGAAGCUUGAUCACAGAAGACUAUUUGCAGCCCUUCAUUGGUUUAAACAGAAGAGUCUGCCCUCUGCUGGUGAGGUAAGAUGCUCACAGCUGUUCGCCACCUUUAGUUAGGUAGCAGUUUGUGUUGAUAAAAUGCUAUCAACCUGGUUUUUGUGUUAUUGGUCACAUUCUAUUGACCCUUGACCUUCACUGCCAUUUCCUUUCUCUGAACGAAACACUGGAUCCAGAACUCGCCACAGAAUCCUGAUGAUUAGGGAGGUUAUAAUCUGAUUAAACACAUAGUUUUCCAGUUUUUGUUUUAAAAUUAAGAAGUUUAUUAUCUUUACAGUGAUGGUAGGUGAUUAUGUUCAAUCAUUUUUUAAUAUUAGUAAAUGUUUUCUAUUCAUACAAAGUGGACAUCAGAAGCUGUUGCUGCAGUAAAAGUUACUUUAGUUGCUAAAACGUGGUGUCACGAGUUAGAAAGCUACAUAGUGCAAUCAUGCUAAUGUUUAUAAAAAUGUUUGUAGAGUGACUCAAACUGCACCUCCAGAAUCUACUGAUGUUGAAUAUCAGCUGGUUUCAUGAAGACUUGGUCCCUCUUGCUGGACAUCAGAACUAGGGUUUGAUAUUUCAAAUAAUACCUGUGCAUUAUGUUUAUGCAACUUAUGUCAGUACUUUGUUUGAUGUGCGCCCUCUGCAGGUAAUAAACAGCACUAGAGGUCUUGAUAAAUUGCACGCAAACAAAAUGGCUUGCAUUCUUAACAGCAAUUGGGCAGCCCAUGGCCGAACAGAAAGGACCUGGUCUUGUAAAUGGAGAGUUGCCAGUUCAAAUCCCCAAGAUGUUGAAGGCCUAAUCCCCAUGGCUAGUUCUUAAUCAGACACUCUAAAUUGACCCCAUCCAUGGGGGGGACCACAUCCAGUGUAAUCCGCUGCGGUGACCCAAAGAGAUGGAGAAGCUGAAUGGGAAAUCCUAAACAGCCAUUAUGUGACUAAUGGUAAACAUUAAUAUGCCAAACCAGAACCAUGGUGGAUUUGUGAAUUUGAGACCAGUUCUGACUUUUGUGCUGAUGUGUUCAUAUUCUGGAUUCUCUAGACCAGUUGGGCAGAUCUUUUUGAAACCAGCUCCAGGACUCAGGAAAGCCAAUCAGCAGCGAGCCCAAGAAUGUCUGGAUCUGUGGUCAUUCUUUGGUGUACUGGGCUGAAUCUCGAGCUAAGUCUCCAGAGGUAGGUAUGCAGCUGGGCAUGGAACGGAGUAAGGUGGCCCUCUGGUGGAAGGGCACCCAAGGCAUGACUUGGUCUCAGCUCCUGCCCCAGCUCCACCAGCUGAAGGUCACCUGGCCCAACCCCGACGUCCUCAUUGUUCACCUGGGAGGUAACGACCUGAGCACCGACAGCCCCACUGACUUGCUGGCCUCCGUCAAGAAAGACCUGACCUCCAUCAGGAGCAUCUUCCCUCAGUGUGUCCUUGUGUGGUCCAACAUCCUCCCUCGGAGGGUGUGGCGCCACUCGGCUGACAACCACGAAGUGGAUUUGGUCCGCACAACCGUGAAUCGUAGAAUCCAC